UUGAAUGAAUUUCCAGCUGCGCGAUUCCUAUUUACCGCCCAAAGUUCUACAAAGCACCGUUCCCACUCGCAAGAAUAUUUCACUCCUCAUAAACUUCUUUUUGCGAGGUCUAAUUUGCUUUAGAUUUCAAAAUCUUACUCUCAAUAAGUCAAGAUCAGGUAGCAUUUUUUUUUCUACUACUUGCCCUAAUGCGAUUCUAAUGCUUGGCAUACUGGCUUAUGGUUUUCACGCUAUCCUUUCUUUUCUAAACUGUGUUGAUGGUUUUAACGCUAUCCUCCAGUUUAACAGAUCUAAUGAUUGAUGGUUCAAUAAUAGGAUGCUUCAUUGGUCGACAAGUGCAGGUUUGGGGCUGAACUCAAGGACAUCAAGGACGUGCAGAGGUUAACUCUACUCCCUCGGUGAUAGCUUUAUGAUAUUUUAUUAUGCAGGUGGUUUGAAGGGAUAUUCCGUUAUGUUGAGUUUUACUUAUUUAGCAUUAUGGCUUGUAAACCCUAAUGUUGGUGAUGUAUAAUGUUUAGAUUCUAUUUCCCUUUUUUCUUUUAAUUUUUCUAUGGAAACAUAGAGGGUAUUAUAAUAAAUUAAUUAUGCCAUUGUUGGCACAGACCAAGAGAAGUUUUCAGACAUCCAUGCAAUUCAAGUGUAGCUCACCUUUUGCCGUCCACGCAGCUUCUCAGCUUCUCUCACCUGUCCGCCAUAAAUAACUGACCUAAGUUUUCGUUUGCUGUGACAAAAUCCUUUUGUAGUUUUUGUAAGCUUUUAUUUUCCUUUCUCUCUUGUUGCAGGUAGAUCAGUGAAGGGAAGAUUGGUGAGCACCAGCCGACAAGUGAGUUUUUCAGGGAGCUGUAUGCAGUUAGUAUUACUGUGUAAACAAGACGGUGGGUUUCGAACGAAGCAAGAAGAAAAGAGUAUAUGUCAGUCAGUUCUGCUCUAUUUUACCGCUCUUGAUCAAGGAGAUUGUGGAACAAAAGAAUCACACAACGUUUGCUGUCUUUCUAAAUGAAUCAUUGUUUCUAGCUGUACAGCGAGUCAUAAAGAAUAAUCAUACAUUUUGAUAACAUUUUUUUGAAGUACAAGUUUCACUAGAAGUUAAGUCUUUGUGGCCACCCUAAAUACUGAA